AUUGAACGCUGGCGGCAGGCUUAACACAUGCAAGUCGAGCGAGCGGCGGACGGGUGAGUAUUGUAUGGGGACUGCCCGAUAGAGGGGGUUAACUCCUGGAAACGGUAGCUAAUACCGCAUAUUAUCGGAUAACCCAUAUGGGAUGAGCUGUUAGGUGAGGUAUGGCUCACCUAGGCGACGAUCCCUAGCUGGUCUGAGAGGAUGAUCAGCCACACUGGGACUGAGACACGGCCCAGACUCCUACGGAGGCAGCAGUGGGGAAUAUUGCACAGUGGGCGCAAGCCUGAUGCAGCCAUGCGGAGUGUAUGAAGAAGGCCGUAGGGUUGUAAAGUACUUUCAGUAGGGAGGCGUUACCGGCAGAAGAAGCACCGGCUAACUCCGUGCCAGCAGCCGCGGUAAUAC
rnacentral:rRNA from 1 species